rnacentral:rRNA from 1 species
CCUACGGAGGCAGCAGUCGAGAAUUUUUCACAAUGGACGAAAGUCUGAUGGAGCGACGCCGCGUGGAGGAUGAAGGUUUUCGGAUUGUAAACUCCUGUCACUGCAGAACAAGGCUAGGCGAUUGAACAUUUCGCCUAGUUGAUGGUAUGCGGAGAGGAAAGGACGGCUAACUCUGUGCCAGCAGCCGCGGUAAU